rnacentral:rRNA from 1 species
GACGAACCGUGCGAACGUUAUUCGGAAUCACUGGGCUUAAAGCGCGUGUAGGCGGGACGGCACGUCGGUCGCUGAAAUCCCCCGGCUCAACCGGGGAACGGGCGCCGAUACGACCGCCCUGGAGGGACGUAGGGGACCUGGAACUUCCGGUGGAGCGGUGAAAUGCGUUGAGAUCGGAAGGAACGCCCGUGGCGAAAGCGAGGUCCUGGACGUCUUCUGACGCUGAGACGCGAAAGCCAGGGGAGCGAACGGG